AGUCACUGACAUUAGAUACCCCCGUAGUCCAGGGUGUAAACGCUGCAGACUUGGUGUUGGGGCCCUUUGGGGGCAUUCAGUGCCGGAGAGAAGUUGUUAAGUCUGCUACUUGGGAGUACGUCCGCAAGGAUGAAACUUAAAGGAAUUGGCGGGGGAGCACCGCAACGGGAGGAGCGUGCGGUUUAAUUGGAUUCAACACCGUAAAACUCACCAGGGAAGACUGUUACAUGAAGGCCGAGAUGAAGACUCUGCUAGAUUUUCAG
rnacentral:rRNA from 1 species